rnacentral:rRNA from 1 species
AAUGAACGCUGGCGGCGUGCUUAACACAUGCAAGUCGUACGCGAAAGGGGCUUCGGCCCUGAGUAGAGCGGCGAACGGGUGAGUAACACGUGGGUAAUCUGCCUAGGAGUGGGGGAUAACCUGGGGAAACUCGGGCUAAUACCGCAUUCGUCCGCGAGGUCAAGGCCUCGCGGGGAAAGCUGACCUCUACUUGUAAGUUGGCGCUCCUAGAGGAACCCGCGGCUGAUUAGCUAGUUGGUGAGGUAACGGCCCACCAAGGCGACGAUCAGUAGCCGGCAUGAGAGGGGGACAGGCAACACUGGAACUGAGACACGGUCCAGACUCCUACGGGAGGCAGCAGUGGGGAAUAUUGGACAAUGGGCGAAAGCCUGAUCCAGCAACGCCGCGUGGAGGAUGAAGGCCUUCGGGUUGUAAACUCCUGUUAGGGGGAACGAAAGGUUGCGGGUCAACAGCCGGCAACCCUGACGGUACCUCCAGAGGAAGCCCCGGCUAACUCUGUGCCAGCAGCCGCGGUAACAC